GUCCCCAUGGCUCAAUUGGAUAGAGCGACGGCCUCCGGAGCCGUAGACUGCAGGUUCGAGUCCUGCUGGGGACGCCA
rnacentral:tRNA from 2 species